AUUCUUGCCUUGACAACUGCUCGAAUUCCCGGGUUGGCAUGCGCUAAAGGUUUGUUUACGAUUUCCAGCCGUUUUCACUUUCACUUUCAGAUCAGUAUAUUGUGCAUGUUGUGAAUGAAUGAAACUAAUCAAAUUCACGCAAAACGACGCUUUUUAUGUUAUUUACUGCCAGGAUAUUAGAUAAGUAUUUUUGACAAUUUGGGGAUUUAUUGUUUAUGUGCGUCACUUAAUUCUGUAAAGGUGUAUGAAUUAAACAAGACAAAGAUAAACAUAUUCUGGAGUGGGACUAAAAUGAGUAGUAAAAACCAAGUCAUGCCGGGAAUUUGAAACUGAAAACCGGAGUUUUGCUUAUUACAGAGAAUUAACACUUUCAAAUGUCAUAAAACUUAGAGUUGGCUGAGAGUUUUAACUCCAAAUUUGACAAAUAAUUUUGUUUUAUUUUGUAUUUUAAACUGUGUCCAUUUUCUUUAAAUACAGGUGGUAUAGUGAAUUCAGUAUGCAGAUUGUUGAAGGGAAAACAUCAAGACAGGGCGAGGAAGACGACAAAACAUGAUUACCCAGAUUGAGGAUCCCAGUGUUCUUUGUCUGAAGCUAUUCAGCCUACCAUGAGAAAAUUAAAAGAUCUGUCAUGAAGAAGAGGCGGGUUCUCAACUUUCAUAUUAUAAAUGGCAAGUAUUGUUUAAGAACUAAUUUUAGAUUAUUCUUGAUAGAAAAAUAACGUAAGGGUGUUUGUUAAUUCAUAGCUAUUAUUUGUGAUUCCAUUUUGUAUUAAUUUUCAAAAUCAAUUCAUUCUUUGGUGACCAUGUGCAGUGGUUUGCUUCAAACUCAUAAUUUUUUAUAAAAAUAUAGACUAUAUUAAUUUUUUCAAUUGCAGAAAAUGUUACUCACUGUACAAAAUCUAUUUCAGCACGAUUGUCAUGUUCAAUUUGAGGGCCUCUCACCUAAAGUUCUUUUACUGUUCCAUAUCAGGAAAAAGUUCAUGAGCUGAAACAUGCGAUUGGAGAAAAAGGAAAAGCAUUAGGAAAAUGCCUGCACGAGGAGAAAAGUUUUGGACUCUGAAAAGGGAGGUGUGACAAAAACAUUUUGACAGUUGUUGAUUUCCACUAAAAACAAUAUCCACAAGAAAGAGUACAUAGUUUUAUGUUGAUUCACAACAUUAAUUCAAGAAUGUACAAUUGGUUUUAUUAUAAAUCAUGUCAGUGACACAUACAAAUAAAAGCAUUCGUGUAAUGUACCCUGUCUCUGAUAUGUAUGUAAUUUGCAGGAUAGGAUGUGGGCAACAUAAACUGCCAAGAAUCUUGAUGAUUUUGAUCUUAAAAAGAAAUGUUUUGUAUUGUAAUAAACCAAGUUAAAGUCAGCUUUUUUGUUACUUUGUAUAUUAAUUAUGAUGUUUACAUUUCCGCAACUUAUCAAUUUGGAAGAAAAAACUUUAUAUUUAUAAUUUGAAUAAGGCUUCAUUCACUGGAAUGGAAAAUAGAGCUUAUUAACUUUUGGAGUUAUUAAAGAUGGUAUUUAAUUAAAUUUAAGGUCUGUAAAUAUCAGAUUGUGGUUAUUAAAAAUGGCAUUUAAUUAAAUUUAGAAUCUGUAAUUAUCAGAUUUAAUUUAUCCUAAAUACUGUGUUUAAUGGUUGUAAAUAUUAACUUUACUUUUUUGUAAAGUCAAGAUAAAGUGGGACAUUACAUCAUAUUUAAGUGCAUGUAAAGUUAAUGUAAAGGUUACCUUUUCCAGCUUUGACUUUUUUCAGAAAAGCCAAUUAAAGGCAUUGUAAAUAAUAAAUUUA